rnacentral:rRNA from 1 species
CACGUAGGGGGCAAGCGUUGUCCGGAUUUAUUGGGCGUAAAGAGCUCGUAGGCGGUUCGGUAAGUCGGGUGUGAAACCUCCAGGCUCAACCUGGAGAGGCCACCUGAUACUGCUGUGACUCGAGUCCGGUAGGGGAGCGUGGAAUUCCUGGUGUAGCGGUGAAAUGCGCAGAUAUCAGGAGGAACACCAGUAGCGAAGGCGGCACUCUGGGCCGGUACUGACGCUGAGGAGCGAAAGCGUGGGGAGCGAACAGG